GAUGAACGCUGGCGGCGUGCCUAAUACAUGCAAGUCGAGCGAACAGACGAGGAGCUUGCUCCUCUGACGUUAGCGGCGGACGGGUGAGUAACACGUGGAUAACCUACUUAUAAGACUGGGAUAACUUCGGGAAACCGGAGCUACUACCGGAUAAUAUAUUCAACCGCAUGGUUCAAUAGUGAAAGACGGUUUUGCUGUCUCUUAUAGAUGAAUCCGCGCCGCAUUAGCUAGUUGGUAAGGUAACGGCUUACCAAGGCAACGAUGCGUGGCCGACCUGAGGGGGUGAUCGGCACACUGGAACUGAGACACGGUCCAGACUCCUACGGGAGGCAGCAGUAGGGAAUCUUCCGCAAUGGGCGAAAGCCUGACGCAGCAACGCCGCGUGAGUGAUGAAGGUCUUCGGAUCGUAAAGCUCUGUUAUUGGGAAAGAACAAAUGUGUAUGUAACUAUGCACGUCUUGACGGUACCUAAUCAAAAAGCAACGGCUAACUACGUG
rnacentral:rRNA from 1 species